CCUACGGGUGGCAGCAGUGGGGAAUAUUGCACAAUGGGGGAAACCCUGAUGCAGCGACGCCGCGUGAGUGAAGACGUAUCUCGGUAUGUACAGCUCUAUCUGCAGGGAAGAAAAUGACGGUACCUGACUCAGAAGCCCCGGCUAACUACGUUCCAGCAGCCGCGGUAAUACGUAGGGGGCAAGCGUUAUACGGAUUUACUGGGUGUAAAGGGAGCGUAGACGGCGCUGCAAGUUCGGAGGGAAAGGCCAGGGCUUAACCUUGGUACUGCUCUGGAAACUGUGAAGCUUGAGUGCGGUAGGGGCAGGCGGAAUGCAUGGUGUAGCGGUGAAAUGCGUAGAUAUUAGGAGGAACACCGGCGGCGAAGGCGGCCUGCUGGACCGUAACUGACGUUGAGGCACGAAAGCGUGGGUAGCAAACAGGAUUAGAUACCCCAGUAGUC
rnacentral:rRNA from 1 species